rnacentral:lncRNA from 1 species
UAUAUGCAUUCAUUACACUUAAUAAUACUGUUGCUGCAGAUCAAAUGAUUCCUUGGAAAUAAAGAAAACAGCAUCAUAAACCAACAGGCUAAUACAAAUAUAAUUAGCAUUCAUCUAAAGAAAACACUAGAAUGGUGAGAAAGCUAGGUGGCAUUAAGUCAAAGAUACCACAAAUGAGUUUCAUGGCAGGAGAAAAAACAAGAUUUAGUGCAUGGCAUCUUAGUUUGAAGAUUGUUGGACAAAUGGCCACACUUUAACAACAGGAGAAACCUAUCCACGUAAACAGCUUAGUUUAUGAAAGCUCCAAAACUACAGAAAAUUAAGUCUCAAGAUAAAAUGAUGGAAUUUUUUCAGAGGCAAACACUAGCAGACGAUGCUAAUCUGCACUGAAAAUACUUCCAUAACACUAUUAAUACUUCCAUAUUACUAACUAGCAAGAUGGUCAAAAACAAGAAAUCAGCAAAAGAUGCCCCGGAAUAAUAGUAGGCUAUAAUCACCUACUACCUGGAGCUUUUCUACCUUUUGCUGCAAGUUUUGCAGCAACUUGUUCUUCAGACAAAGGUAGAUAGUAGAUCCGAGGAGUUGCUUUGGUUUUGCGGAAGAGAUCAUCCAGAGUGACUGUAGGCAGGUCAGCUUUCUCAGGAAGGGGCGGUGGGGAUGGAAGUCGUUCUAUUCCUACUGGUGGCGGCUUUGACAAUGGUGGGGGAGGUGGGAGAGUAGGUGGAGGUGGAGGCAGCUCCCUGUGCUGACGGGGGGAAGGCUCUGGCUGUGAAGGUGGUGCGGGAGGAACAGCUGGACCACUACUGAUGGACGGAGCCUGACUAGGAGGAGGUUCUAACUUCAUCUUCACUUCUUCAGGCUCAACAUACUCAGCAAGUAAGAAGCGCCCACCAUUUGGAGGCCAUUGCAGAUUAUACACAGCAUUCCGUGUCUCAAUGGCUUCUUCGGUGGACGAGUACUACAUCACCAUCAAAUCAACAAAGGUUACUGAGUUACUCAGAACGAUAUGCCAAAGUCCAAACGCAAUAACAUUACAUGAGAAUCAAGUCUUACAGUAACAUAGCAGUGGGUCUUUAUUUGGUCCAUCCAGAAACUGCUAACUUUCCCAGUCUUACCAAGAAGCUCUUGGACUGCUUUUAGGGUAAAAGGGCGGAGGAAACGGUCAAUCCUGAGGGAAUUAGUUGGGGACCUUUGUGAUGGUGGAACUGCCAAAGAUAAAAGAAACACCAUUUAGACUUAAAGGGCAGAGAAGCAGAGGACACAGCACAAACACAUGCUGGUAUUACAUUGAAGUAAAUUUCAAUGUGCCGGGAAAUUAAUUUACUGUUUGAGCAACAAGCCAGGAAAUGAAAAUUGAUAUACACCGAUACCAUACCAGAAAUAAGAUUACAAGAUCUUCAUAGGUUCACCCAGAUCACAAUAAUGUAAACUUACCAAUGCGUUUUUUGGGUGCAUCGUCAGUUGCAAAGGAAUCAGACCUAGAGAAGUUGCGUUUAAGAGAAACUGGUCCAUCCUUGGGUGUAGUGGUGGAUCUGGGAGUAGUGCUCUGUGGAUUUGGUCCUUUAACUGUUUCAGUACUCCACCUACGUUGCCUUUUUGCAGGAUCAUUGUUGCAAUCUAAUGCUUGUUCUGUGACACAAUGUUCAAAAUAAGGGUGAUUUAUACACAGAAAUGGUAGUAACAACAAUAUUACCAGGAAAGCAACAUAUACUGCACAUAUAAUUUCUUGUUUGUGCUUAGGAUACAACCAGAAAAUAAAAGGAAGUUUAUUUCUAAGUAUGAAGAUAAAAUAUAAAACUCACCAUUGAAUUUUCGUUUCUCGACCAGGCCAACUGGACUCGAGUCAAUAUCUUGGUGGGUAUCACUUUUUCCUCCAGAUUGACCAUCUCCCACAACAACAGUAGUAUUUUCCACCUUCACAGUAGGCACUUCAGUACUCUCCACUUUGUCUCUAAGUUCAUCAACAUUAACCUUAGAGCUCUCGGGCAAAUCCUCAUCAUCACCAGAACUUCUAUCUAAGCUUAACUUCUCUGGGUACCCCACAUCAUCACUGAUAUUGGUUUUGUUCAAGUCUGGACUUGUAACAACAUUGCUAUUUUCUUCAACAGAUAGCUUUCUAACAUGUGGCUUUCCAACAUUUAUUGAAUUUGAUUCUUCAUAAACUGGUUCAUUUCUGGGCGAUGGCUCUUCCACCAUCUCCGACCUAACAAUAUCUUGUUCUAAUUUGACAUUAUCAGUAAUUAUAGUAUCCUUUAGUUCAUUCUUUUGAUUAAUUGACACAGAAUCACUAAAAAUAGAAUCAGAUUUUACUUGAGACCCUAGUAAACUAGGGUUUACCUCAGAUACCUGGUUUUUAGGAACAGUAGAGUCGGGCAAAAGAUCCUUGUAUGAGGGCUUUGUGUCAGACUCCAGUCGGGGCUUUGAGUUCUCAUUAUCCAGCUGUGCCUUUGACUCCUCAUUCUCCAGCUUGGUCCCUAAAACCUCAGUAUUCUUUUCUGCACUAUUCACCUUCAACUCCUCAUUCUCCAAUUUGGUUCCUGAACCCCCAUUAUUAUUAUCUGUGCUAUACGCCUUCAAAUCCUCAUUCGCCAGCUUGGUUCCUGAAUCCUCGAUCUUUUUUUCAGUGCUGUGAGAAUCUUCACCAUCAACUACUACUUCCGUCAAUACACUCUCAGUGACAGUGGUGGUGAUGGUGGUGGUCUCCACAACAGUAGUGUGAGUAAUUAGCUCCUCUCCCACAUUUGAAGAAUCAACAACAGCAGGCAACACCGUAGGUUCAACAUCUUGAUCCAUGGCCGAUGCACUAUUGUCAUACUUACUGCUGUCAUCAACCACACCCUCCAGAACCUUUUCUGCCUUUUCCCUUUCAAUCGGUUCAACUGAACCAACAUUCUCCUCAACAGCUUCAAAUUUUUCCUCAUUCCCCCUUUCAUCAACAGCUACAGCAUCCUCAGAAACAAUCUCAGAAUCUUUGAGUUCGGCUUCAUUAUCAUGACCCUCCAAACCAUUCACCUCCUUCUCGGAAGCCUCAGCAGCAUCCCUUUCAGCACGAAGGGCGUCAUCCAAACGUCUGACUAAAUCAUUCUUCAAACCAGUGGUAGUUAGCCUCCUCCUCUUCAGCUCCUCUUUCAACUCUGUAACCUUCCACUGAUGAAUCGGCUUCGACGACAUUAUAUCCAAAUUCAAGAUCACAAAUCACUUUCCUUCACCUGCACUGACAAUUAAAUUUGAUACAAUAAAAAAAUUAUAAAGAAAACACCAACUAUCAAUUCAACCAAAGACAGGGUUUAUCCUAAAAUCACUAACCAAUUAUUUGAUAAAAAUACAACCUUUCCUUAAAGAAUGAUACAAAAUAGAACAAUGAAAAAAAAACAAAAAUAACCACUUAGAAAUGCAUUUUCUAAGCAAAUAACAAGUAGUAAAAGCGUAACGAAAAUUUAAAAAAUAAACAAAAUACAAAAAGAUAUUCAAUUUAUGAAUAGAAAAAGACAAUACCGCAAAGGGUUAUAGCAAUUACUUACUCAGAAUGACGAUUUGAUGAUAAUGAAGAAAAUAGGGUUAGCGUUGUUGCGAUUUUGGAAACCCUAAUUUCAGAACAAAAGCGAGAACUAGAGAAGAAGAAGAAGAAGAAACAGAGGUAUCGAAAUUGAAGAUUGUUCAAUGAACCGAAACGAAUGCACUCUUUCUAUUGAAUCUUUCGUACUCGUUUCAUUUCGUUAUUUUCCUGAAAACAACGAAAGAGAAUGUAUAAAACAAAAAGAAAAUGGAGAGAAAGAAAUGCAAGAGAAAUUAAAUUUCAGUAAUGAAAAAAUUGUUUCAGAAUUUUGAAGAAAUAAAAAGGGUUAAGAUUUGUUUGGAUGUGAAAUUUGGGAAUUUGGGAAGAGAGAAACUGUUUUCAUGAUUCAUCUAUCUAACUUGUUGUUUCUUCUUUUUGUUUAUUUUUCUCUCUUAUUUUUACUUUUUUAGUCCUUUUUCUUUUAUUUGUUUGUGAAGUAGUGGUAUAUAUAUAUAUAUAUAUAUAUAUAUAUUCAAUAUCUAUAAGCAUUUCACAUUCUUAAAACUAGCGUGUCGACGGACACUUCGUACCUGCCAAUUUACAUUUUUAUUUCAUAAUAUUAAAUAUUUAAGAGAAUCGUAUUAUAUUUUUUAUGAUAAAAAAAUAUGAAAAUAAAUUGAAAUUCUUUUAAAAAAAACUACAUUAACAAUAUGAUAUUUAUAGAUAUGUAACUUUCUCUAACUCCUAUUAAUAUUUUUUUAAUAUGUAUAAAACCAUUGUAAUAAUAUUUAAUUAGAAAGGUAAAAUAGGCAACAAGAAGUUACACCAUAUUAAGUAGUUAUAAGAUAUUUUAGCUUUAUAUAUAGUGUAGAUAUAAAAAUGAGAUAAAAUAAUAACUGAUUUAACAUUAAAAACCCACACUUGUAAUAGGCAGAAUCUUUUCAUUAACAGCACAUAUAAUAAAAUAGUGUAAUAUAUAUUUAGUAUAAAGAUUUAUACAUAAUCAUUAUAUUAUUUAUUAAUUAUUUGUAUUAUUUAUAUAUAAGUCAAUAAUUAUCAAAUAUAAAUAAUGGAUAAUACAUAGAAAAUUCUUACAUUAUUAAUAUAUACAUUUUUUAUCUUAAAAAACUAUAAGAUAUAAAAUAAUAUGAGUAUCCAACUUUAAAUAGACCUAUAAAAUCGGACAUGGCCAAAAUCUACAUAACUAAUAAUAGAUCCCUAAGAAGACGAUUUUAAAUAAGAGUGAUAAAGGGGUGGAUUUAGAUGUUAAUGGAUAGACAUAAAGUCAUUCAUUAAUUCAUAUAAAUUAAUUUAAUUAUAUUUUAAUCCAUAUGAUUCAUCCAUAACUCCAUUUCAUGAAUUUAGAUAGAUGGAUAUCCAAACCAUUUGAUUUUUUUAAGUGAACUAAAAAAUAUAUUGGAGAUAGUUAUUACUUUAAAAACUACUAUUUCAACUAAACAUUUUUAAUAUCACCCAUUAAGAAAAACUUAUAAAACACUUUAGAAAUAAUUUUUUUGAAAAGUCGUUUUUUAAACUUUUAUAAAGAAAUUUUGUAUUCAAUAUUCUACGAACAUGUGACGUUUAAGAUUACUUGUAAAGUGUUUAAUAAAUACUUAUAGAGUGUAAUAUUUAUUAAUAAUGUAAAAGUUUAUGAGUAGAGAUCCACUUACUCCAAUAAUAAGUUUUUAAACUUAUUCCCCACCAUAAUCAUCAAUUUUAUGGAUAUCGAAUGGUUUAGAUCUACUCACUAAUUAAAAUCAUUUAAUCUCACUAGAAUUGAUGAAUAAGAUGAAAGAGUAUUAAGUAGAUCUCUCCUCACAAUUUAUAUAUAAUCACUACAUCAUACAUCAUUAAUUUGAAUUACUUUUUUUAAUAGUCACGUAUGAUUAAAUAUAAAUAAUGAAUGAUGCAGUAACAAUGUAUAAAACUCAUAAAUUAGUCAAUGCAUACAUUUUUCUCAUACUUAUAUAUGUCAUGUAAUUAACAAUAAAAUUUUAAUAUUAAUUAUAUACACAUGUCCUAUAAUUGAUUCAGUUUAAUAAAAUAUUAAAAGUGAGACUGAAAUCAUACAUAUAUUUACUUGAAUUUAGUUUUUUUAAAUAUUGAAUGAAAUUGAAAAGGCAAAGAAAAUCAUUUUUGUUUUUUGAUGGAUUGGAUAUCCAUUCAAAUAGAUAUACACAUGAAUAUCCAUUAGAUAUAAUUGAUGGAUUUGAAUGCAUCCAUUAUCAACAUUAUUCAUUGAAUUAUAUUCAUUUAAAUCAUUAGCUCUAACUGAUGAAUUUAAUUUGGAUGGAUUAUAGAUUGUGUAUAAUUUUGUCACCUCUAAUUUUUAAACUUCAGCACCACAUACAUAAUUAACACUAGCGUAUCGACAGACACUUCGUAUCUACUUAUUCACAUUCUUAUUUAAUGGUAUUAGGUAUUUUUAUUAAAUAUUUAACUUGUAUUAUCAUUCUACCACUAUAGUAUAAUUUAUAUAUUACCUUAAUAUUCUUUAAUUUAUACCAAAAAAAAAAUAUAAUCACCCAAAUAUAAUAAUUGAAAAUUGAAAUCACUUCUUUCAUUUUAAAUUAGAAAUUCUAAUAAGGACAAAAAAUUAUAAUAUAAAAUACAUCUACUACAAAAAAAAUUAUAAUCCUCCAAAAUUAAAUAUAUGAAAAAUUACUUAAUAGCAUAAAUUAAGAAUGUAAACAAAUAGGGAGGAAGUACCUCUCACAUGCUAGAACACUUGUGUUGACUAGGGUUGACCCACAUUCUUAUUUUUAGAGAAUUGUAAUUUUUUUGUAUAUUUAUUAUAAUAUAAGGUAAGAUAUAUGGCUAUUAUAUUAAUGUUAGUUACCUAAAUUAUAUAAUUUAUUUAUAGAUACUACAAAACAUUAUGGACAAAAUUAGUCUAUAAUGAUAAUCUGACCAUAUUUUUAUAGAAAACCACACUCUUUAUAAUCAAAAUUUUCCUGUCCAUGUUUAAUUAUAUGGUAUUUAGAUAAAUAAUUUCUAGUGGAGGCAAAGGGUAUAAAUUAUAUAGUCCAGCUAGCCCAAUGCUAAAUUAAGCUCGUACAAAAACAAACCUUAUAAAUUUGACAUUAAUAAUUUGUGAAUAACUUCAAUUUUUAUAUAUAUAUUAUAAGACUCUUUUUCAUGUUCUCUUUUAGCAUAUAAUAAAAGUUUAGAUGUGAUAAAAGAAAAUAUUACUCAUUUUUAAAGGAUAUGCAUGAAUACCAACACGGUAUUGGUGUAAUGACGUACAGUCUCAUGAGAUCUUCAGAUAAGACAAAAUGUCAAAUAUUCGACUAUUGUGAGUAACAAAAAAAGGAGAUAUACAUGAACUCAAUUUAGCUCAACUUAAUUGCAUGUAAGUUUUUUUGUACUACCAAAGAGUAUCCCUCACCCUUUUAGAUACGAAACUAAUCUCUUUCGAAGUGCGUGAUAAUCCCUCCCAAUUCUCGAAAUUAUCCAGCCAUCACCAUUAAAAUCUUAACUAUUCCCAGGAGGACUUUUAUGAAUGGUCAUGUCUAUGAAACUUGUAGAUGAUCAUCAAAUUGGAACUACAAGUCUACAAACCAAACCACCAACAAAAUGAUUGAUGAGUAAGAUAGUUCAUCUUUCAUCUGUUACUGCUGCAUUAUUUAGAUCCUACACUAUUUGCAACAAAAGCAUACAUUUUUUUAGAUCCUACCCUCUUUGCAACAAAGCAUUUUCAUUGGGGAUUGCACACAACAGCACAAAACAUUUGCACAUAAACUAGAUUUUCUUACUAUUUUUUGGUACAUAGAAUUACUAUCGGAUUCCACAACUGCAUUAGCAUUAGUCUACCACUCUUUUAAUUUUUUAACCUACACAAAUCAGCCAUAAUUUAUAUGGGUUCAUUAGACUUAAUACUCUUGCUACACAUCAAAUGAUUCGUGGGGAUUAAAGAAAACAGUAUCCUAAACCAACAGGUUAAUACAAACAUAAUUAGCAUUCUUCUGAAGAAAACACUAUAUUGAUGAGAAAGCUAGGUGACAUGAGAGCAAAGAUACCACAAAUCAGUUUCAUGGCAUGAGAAAAACAAGAUUUAAUGCAUGGCAUCCAAGUUAAAGAUGUUUGGACAAAUGUUCACUAUAACAACAGGAGCAAUAAAUCCACUUAAAACAACUCUUAGUUUUAGAACGCUCCAAAACUAAAGAAAAUUCAGUCUCAAGAUGCAUAAAUGGCAUUUUUUUCGGAGGCAAACACUAGCAGACGAUGCUAAUCUGAACUGAAAAUACUUCCAUAACACUAUUAAUACUUCCAUAUUACUAACUAGCAAGAUGGUCAAGAACAAGAAAUCAGCAAAAGCUGCCCGGGAAUAAUAGUAGGCUAUAAUCGCCUACUGCCUGGAGCUUUUACCUUGUGCUGCAAGUUUUGCAGCAACUUCCUCUUCAGACAAAGGUAGAUAGUAGAUCCGAGGAGUUGCUUUGGUUUUGCGGAAGAGAUCAUCCAGAGUGACUGUAGGCAGGUCAGCUUUCUCAGGAAGGGGCGGUGGGGAUGGAAGUCGUUCUAUUCCUACUGGUGGCGGCUUUGACAAUGGUGGGGGAGGUGGGAGAGUAGGUGGAGGUGGAGGCAGCUCCCUGUGCUGACGGGGGGAAGGCUCUGGCUGUGAAGGUGGUGCGGGAGGAACAGCUGGACCACUACUGAUGGACGGAGCCUGACUAGGAGGAGGUUCUAACUUCAUCUUCACUUCUUCAGGCUCAACAUACUCAGCAAGUAAGAAGCGCCCGCCAUUUGGAGGCCAUUGCAG